AUGAACGCUGGCGGCGUGCCUAAUACAUGCAAGUAGAACGCUGAAGGAGGAGCUUGCUCUUCUGGAUGAGUUGCGAACGGGUGAGUAACGCGUAGGUAACCUGCCUGGUAGCGGGGGAUAACUAUUGGAAACGAUAGCUAAUACCGCAUGACAACAGUUAUUGCAUGAUAACUGUUUGAAAGGGGCAACUGCUCCACUACCAGAUGGACCUGCGUUGUAUUAGCUAGUUGGUGAGGUAACGGCUCACCAAGGCGACGAUACAUAGCCGACCUGAGAGGGUGAUCGGCCACACUGGGACUGAGACACGGCCCAGACUCCUACGGGAGGCAGCAGUAGGGAAUCUUCGGCAAUGGACGGAAGUCUGACCGAGCAACGCCGCGUGAGUGAAGAAGGUUUUCGGAUCGUAAAGCUCUGUUGUAAGAGAAGAACGAGUGUGAGAGUGGAAAGUUCACACUGUGACGGUAUCUUACCAGAAAGGGACGGCUAACUACGUG
rnacentral:rRNA from 1 species